CUUUAUGUUAUCAAUUUACAUUGCAAAAAUGGACUUCAGAUUGUGUUUGUGUUAUAUUGUUUGCAAAAAUGGAAUUUAAAUGUUAUAUUGUAAACUAUUUCAAAAGCCCGUGGCAACGCACGGGAAUUCUACUAGUCUAAUUCAAUCCAUCGAUCGUUCCUUAGUCAUGAUGCACUUACCUGUAGCCCUCACAGAUCGGUUUCCAUAUAAAAUAAAACACAAUCAUCAAUCAAACGUUGGUGUGAUACUUCCUUUAUAUAGGACUUACUGCCAUACACGGCCCAGACGAUAACUUCCAUAUACAAAAUAAAGGGAAACGCAAUCAGGCUUCCUUUCCUUUCCAAAGCUGCAGCCACCGACCCCCUCCCCAAAUCACGUUCUUUUUCCCAGGCCACCAUCGACGAUCUGCUCUCCCAUUUUCGUCGUCCUCCCCACAUUGCCAAGCUCCAACGCACAACUACACGAACACCGCCGACAUAGGAAACCACCGCCUCCUCCUCCGCGACACUGCCGCCAUCCCUCCGCCGGUGGCAGCGCAUCACUUGCUACGCGCGCCGUUGCGGCAGUGACUGCUUAUGCUGCUAUUGGGUACAGGUACCCAAGGUUCGCCGGUGCGUCUGCUUUCCCCCCCUCUGUGUGGCGACCUGAAUGGAAGGCGAUGGAUCUGGGAUGCGCCUGGCUCCACAAGACGUUAGGCGCAAGGAAGGCUGGAAAGCCACCGACUAGAUGGCCAUGGGUGGCCCACUGGAGGUUUGAAACCUGCUAUGGCGUAAUUUUGUGCAACCUGCAUGAAAAUUGUAGGAGCUAUCGAUGUGGUCGUCCCAUCAGCAACAGGUACGUACUGGAUAACACACAAUUUGAAAUUCUUGACAGUUGAGUGACCACGACUUUGACUCUCGCAGUGUUGCAUAUUCUUCGGUGAAACUAUAUUCAAUUUAAUUUUUUGCAUCACCUUUGGAGUAAACAAUCAAACCUACUUAUGAAAUUUGUCCUAUGGGUGUGUGCAUUGAACAAGUAUGCCAACAACGGCAAUAUGAAGCUCAUGGAAGAAAAGGUCAAGGAGGUGGAUACUUGAUGAUCCAUCGUUACAUGUAUGCAUUGUGCUUGCAAAAAGAUACUGUGACAAGUAUCUCAUGCUAAGCUUUAGUUUUGGUACUAAUCUUCCAUUCUCACGAAAAGGAGAAUAAUGAAUAAUAAUCUAUGUGGAGACAUCCCCAAGGUUUCGAAAAGUACCUUCAGCAUUCUGUAGCAUUCUUUCCUUGAUACACUACAUCACCAAUCUGUUUUAGCAAAAUAGUUAUGCAAAUAAGUUGCUAUCAUCUAAUUUUAGCUUUAAGUUACUCACUGUAGUUUCUCAGCUAUGGUAGCUACAUGGACCACCACAUAGGGAAGCAAGAGAAGCACCAGGCCACCAGUUCAUAAUCAUCUUAUUGGCCCUGCUUGGAGUGUCAUUGGUACUUGAAGUUUGCCUCUGCUUCUAUGUGGUAACGCACAAAAUCAUGGAGGAAAACUCAGCAGUGCACUACGGGAAGCAGGUCUUGCACACAUACAAGCUACAGGAGUCGAGCAUGUCGUUGUGUGAAAUCGUCAUAGAGAUGGCUCGACAGUUCAGAUUAUGCAACACUGAAGUGGUGACCAAGAACUUUGCAAACUAGAACGGUUCAGAGGUUUCAGGACGGCGUACUAGGGGACUAUGCCAGAUGGAAGGGAGAAUACAGUGGAAGUGUUGACAAAUAAUUCACACCACGAAGGUAUUACAAUGAAAGCAACAAUAAAAAUGAGGUAGGUUGUCAAUUGGUUUACCAACAAAAUGGUAUAUCGGGUGUUAAGUAAUUCUUGACGUCAAUGUUAUUAAUGUGUUGUAGUAUCAUUGAUGUUAAGAAUACACAACAAGAAACUGGUUGCGUUUCUAGGUUAUUACUACCAUGAAGAUGAGAGGAACAUCGAGGAAAAUCCUUUCCCUAAAAAAAAAAGGGUGGGAGGAAUAUCCUGGUCUAUGAUGUCAUGAUGAAUAGGACCCUGAGAGAGCAUGACAUGCACAUUAGUUGAAUUAGCAUCCCACAAGGGUGGAGCAGUGGAUGAUGCCCCGUCGAUUCUCUUUGGAUUCGGCUACUGUGGCGAUGUGUUUAGUCAGGCCUGGAGUGAGUGCUCCACGUCUGUGUGUCGGUGGCACUCAGAGAUUGGUUGGGCCACUCUUGUGAGGGGGUGUGGGGAGUGGUGGGCUCGAGACAGGCCAUGCUCGUGAGCAGGUGCGGAGAUGAGUUGCACAAGAGAAACAUCAGUGGGAUGCCCAACCAUUUUUUUUUCUAAUAUGAAUUAUCCCACCUUCUUAGAAAAACAUGUUUUGAGUAAAGUUAUCUUUAGUGUAGACGUACAUCAACAAUUAAUCAAGUAUCAUCAUCAUUGCAUGUUUAUUGUGUGGAAUGUGCGUCCCAAUGUUGACAGAAGGUAUAAAAAGAUCGUCUUGGAAUUAUUAUUUUCUUGUGAAGAUAUUGCCCUGAAUUCUCAUUUCUCGUUAGAAAUUUAGUAUCCAUUUUCGUUGUUCUUAUUUGCAACAUGUACAAGUCAUUAAUAAUCUAAGGGGGUGCCCUACCGGAGAAGAUUAUGAUAGUUGGACAAGAAACUCUGUACUGUCGUGCAAGGCAGAGGUGGGAAAAAAGGUGAUAAA